AAUUUGGCGGCAAUUUAAUCUUUUCAGAGGAACCUGUUUUAGAAUCGAUAAACCACGAAAAAUCUUACUUGUCCUUGUAUGAAACAGCUUGUAUACCAUCAUUACCAGAUAAUUCUUAGAAGAAAAAUUAUUAAAUGUGAUUGUUCAAAAAAAUUAGAUCAUGGUGCAGUUUAUGGGCAAGGUAAAAUGGGUUACAAUAAAUUACUUUAUUGCGGAUUAACGAGAUAAUCUCGUUACGAAGAAGGAUUUGAUUGUAUUUUGAGUUUAAUAAGCUGACAAGAUAUGAGUUCUAAAUUGUGUACAC
rnacentral:rRNA from 1 species